rnacentral:rRNA from 1 species
UGGGGAAUAUUGCGCAAUGGGCGAAAGCCUGACGCAGCGACGCCGCGUGAGGGAUGAAGGUUUUCGGAUCGUAAACCUCUGUCAGAAGGGAAGAAACCGCACUGUGCUAAUCAGCAGUGCCUUGACGGUACCUUCAAAGGAAGCACCGGCUAACUCCGUGCCAGCAGCCGCGGUAAUACGGAGGGUGCAAGCGUUAAUCGGAAUUACUGGGCGUAAAGCGCACGUAGGGUGCUUUGUAAGUCAGGGGUGAAAUACCACGGCUCAACCGUGGAACUGCCUUUGAUACUGCUUAGCUUGAAUCCGGGAGAGGGUGGCGGAAUUCCAGGUGUAGGAGUGAAAUCCGUAGAUAUCUGGAGGAACAUCAGUGGCGAAGGCGGCCACCUGGACCGGUAUUGACGCUGAGGUGCGAAGGCGUGGGGAGCAAACAGG